rnacentral:rRNA from 1 species
AGUGAACGCUGGCGGCAGGCCUAACACAUGCAAGUCGAACGGCAGAACAGUAAGAGCUCGUUCUUUCGGGUGGCGACGGGCGGAUGGGUGCGGAGUAAAUCGCAAUCUAUGGUGUCGAGGGGGAGAACGCAGGGAAACAUCCCUCAUACCGCAUACGACCUACAGGGGAAAGCAUGGGGUCUUCAGACCUUCAGCGAUUGAUUGAGCGGAUGUGGGAUUUGCUAGUUGGCGGGGUAAAGGCCCACCAAGGCGAGGACCCGUAACUGGUCUGAUGGGAUGAUCAGCCACACUGGAACUGAGACACGGUCCAGACUCCUACGGGAGGCAGCAGUGGGGAAUAUUGGACAAUGGGCGAAAGCCUGAUCCAGCCAUACCGCGUGAGUGAAGAAGGUCUUCGGAUUGUAAAGCCCUUUUGGUGGGAAGGAAGAGCAGCAAGUUAAUACCCCGCUGUUCUGACGGUACCCAAAGAAUAAGCACCGGCUAACUUCGUG